GCCUGGGUGGCUCAGUCAGUUGAGCAUCUGACUCUCAAUUUUGGCUCAGGUCAUGAUGCCAGGGUCAUGGGAUCAAGCCCCACUUCAGGCU
rnacentral:tRNA from 1 species